rnacentral:rRNA from 1 species
CCUACGGGAGGCAGCAGUGAGGAAUAUUGGUCAAUGGGCGCGAGCCUGAACCAGCCAAGUCGCGUGAGGGAAGACGGUCCUAUGGAUUGUAAACCUCUUUUGUCGGGGAGCAAAAGACGCCACGCGUGGCGUUCCGAGAGUACCCGAAGAAAAAGCAUCGGCUAACUCCGUGCCAGCCGCCGCGGUAAUACGGGGGAUGCGAGGGUUACCCGGAUUUAUUGGGUUAAAGGGGUGCGCAGGCGGAAGAUCAAGUCAGCGGUAAAAUUGAGAGGCUCAACCCCUUAGAGCCGUUGAAACUGGUUUUCUUGAGUGAGCGAGAGGUAUGCGGAAUGCGUGGUGUAGCGGUGAAAUGCAUAGAUAUCACGAAGAACUCCGAUUGCGAAGGCAGCAUACCGGCGCUCAACUGACGCUGAUGCACGAAAGUGUGGGUAGCGAACAGGAUUAGAUACCCUUGUAGUC